rnacentral:rRNA from 1 species
UACGUAGGUGGCAAGCGUUGUCCGGAUUUACUGGGCGUAAAGGAUGCGUAGGCGGAUGUUUAAGUGAGGUGUGAAAUACCCGAGCUCAACUUGGGUGCUGCAUUUCAAACUGGAUAUCUAGAGUGCAGGAGAGGAAAGCGGAAUUCCUAGUGUAGCGGUGAAAUGCGUAGAGAUUAGGAAGAACACCAGUGGCGAAGGCGGCUUUCGUGGACUGUAACUGACGCUGAGGCAUGAAAGCGUGGGGAGCAAACAGG